GAAACAAUAGGUUAAGUCCAAACUAUUGUCGUUCAAUGACAAAGAUCAGUGAUAGUUGUUUCA
rnacentral:tRNA from 1 species